AACGAACGCUGGCGGCAGGCCUAACACAUGCAAGUCGAGCGAGACCUUUGGGUCUAGCGGCGGACGGGUGAGUAACGCGUGGGAAUAUGCCCUUUGGUACGGAAUAGCCUCGGGAAACUGAGAGUAAUACCGUAUGCGCCCUUCGGGGGAAAGAUUUAUCGCCAAAGGAUUAGCCCGCGUUGGAUUAGGUAGUUGGUGGGGUAAUGGCCUACCAAGCCUACGAUCCAUAGCUGGUUUGAGAGGAUGAUCAGCCACACUGGGACUGAGACACGGCCCAGACUCCUACGGGAGGCAGCAGUGGGGAAUCUUAGACAAUGGGGGCAACCCUGAUCUAGCCAUGCCGCGUGAGUGAUGAAGGCCUUAGGGUUGUAAAGCUCUUUCAGCUGGGAAGAUAAUGACGGUACCAGCAGAAGAAGCCCCGGCUAACUCCGUGCCAGCAGCCGCAGUAA
rnacentral:rRNA from 1 species